rnacentral:rRNA from 1 species
GACGAACGCUGGCGGCGUGCUUAACACAUGCAAGUCGAACGGAAAGGCCCUGCGUUUGUGGGGUGCUCGAGUGGCGAACGGGGGAGUAACACGUGAGUAACCUGCCCUUGACUUUGGGAUAACUUCAGGAAACUGGGGCUAAUACCGGAUAGGAGCUCCUGCUGCAUGGUGGGGGUUGGAAAGUUUCGGCGGUUGGGGAUGGACUCGCGGCUUAUGAGCUUGUUGGGGGGGUAGUGGCUUACCAAGGCUGUGACGGGUAGCCGGCCUGGGAGGGGGACCGGCCACCUGGGGCCUGAGGUACGCCCCAGACUGCUACGUGAGGCAGCGGGGGGGAAUAUUGCACAAUGGGCGGAAGCCUGAUGCAGCAGCGCCGCGUGCGGGAUGCCGGCCUUCGGGUUGUAAACCGCUUUCGCCUGUGACGAAGCGUGAGUGACGGUAAUGGGUAAAGAAGCACCGGCUAACUACGUG